UUGACCGUUCUCAUCGUCUCUAUUCCUCUCUUUCCAGUUUCCACUAUAGAAACCAGAACGAUAUGUUACGCCUUCUUCAUCACUGACACCAUCUCAUUAAGUUUCACCAUUAACUCGCUCGGUGAAGUUUUCCCGUUAGGUCGAAUUUAAUUAUUCUUCUCCCACCUCCUUUGCAAAUCCCUAAUUUUCUAUACAAUAAAUAGUGAUGCAACCAUCUCCAAAUCUCACUGCUUCACCAGAUUCAUUACCAUCGCCCUUACAAAUAUAUCCUACAACAAUGGUGGGAUCUCUUAUGUUCUUUCCGAUUUGAAGGCCGUGGGUGUUCUCGGACGGUGGUGACGCGUCUCCUACGUGGAAGUGCGCAAUAUGAAGAAAAUCGGUGAGCUGAUGGGUGUAGACAUGCUCCUCCUUGAUGAAAAGUCAACGCUUCUCCAAGGUUCCAUCUUUGUUCAUCGCCUUAACACUUCUAAACAUAUGCUGAAAGAGGGAGCUGGUGCAAGCUCAGUGGGUUUUAUGUUACCUGAGGAAGGUAAUUGAACUGAUGCCGUUUUAAUUUUGCAUAAUCAUGGUCUCAGACACUAUACUGUUAUUGAUUUUCAAGAGGUAAUAAAACUAUCUUUACAUUUUUUUUUUAAUUGAAUGUUAAAUUUAAUUCAAAAGAAAAAUUCUUUUCUUUACAUCAAGUUUAACUAUCUUUACAUUGCUUCUUCCAUGUUCUUACUUACCCUCAAAAUGAUUAUAGGGAAACUAUAGCCUCUAGCUUCAAGACGGUGUGAAAUAACUGCUUGCUUUAGCCUAAGAAUAUGAUGUUAACAGAGAGCAAGUCCAAGAACUCAUUAGGCAAUAUCUUGCAGUUGAGAAUCCACCAGUAGAUCUUUUGUUUUUGUAUUUUAAUUGAUAUUCUACAAAUACAAUAGAUGGAUUGCACUUUAGGUGACGAUGGUGAGGUUCAUUCUACAAAUAAUGAGGCUUUAUCUACUGUUUCCUAUCGCAUUGAGUGGAAUCUGAGACAUACUCUCAAGCUAGGUUGCACGGGUAUGCCAACUUGGUGCCGUCUCACGUACCGGGUUCGUUGGGGGGACGGAUACGGCUCGGGUACGCCUGGGAAACGUACCCAACACGUGUAAGGUGAACCCGGGACGGCCUGACUCAGCGGGGGCGGGCUUGGUCAGAGAUUGGAGAGUCUCAAGUCUACAUAUGAAACUCUCUUUGAGAUGUUAAAAUACUCAUCCUGGAGGGUUGCAGUUUUUGUCCAUCCUCUGUGUUGAUCUUCAUUAGUCAUAGUCCUGCUACUUUAAGCUUCAUCAAAUCACUUGGGAUGAUCAUGCUUCCUUGCUUGAGAAAACUGUUGCUUAUGAGGCGGUGCAUCAAAUCAGCAACAUCUUGGAUCUUAAGAAAGAUUGGGAAUAGGUCGUUGAUGCUUUGGUUAUUAUCAUCCAUCUAUUCAUGGGCAGGGACAACAACCUAGGUGACGAUAUGCCAGGAGCUACAUGUGUGUCCUGCAUCUGCUCAAAACGCCACAAGCUGUCUGAAACUGAUCAGGCCACAGGCAGUUGUGGCGUCCACUUACUGAAACAACAGGAGCUGAUGAACACACGGUCGGGAGCUCAGCAAAGGAGCCACAUGUUUCAACAACAGAGAGGGAGCUUAAGAAGGAACCCAAAGCAUAUAUGCUUAAGAUAGCCAAAUGAAGACUCAUCUACUUUCUCGCAAAGCUUUGUUUUCAUUUAGUCUUUUUUAAUAGAAAAUAUAUAUGGUUCUAUCACCAUUCCUAUAUAAAAGCAUAUUUCAUCUUAAUCCACCCCAAUCUUGGUUGA